rnacentral:lncRNA from 1 species
GGCCCGGAGCGUACUCAGAGUGUCUCCCUUGAAGAGGCCACCCCCCGGAGGAGCCCGGAGCGGUGGCGCCGGGCCUUGCUCCCCGCGGGAUGCGUUUGCUUCCGUGCCUGUCCGCCUCGCUGCGGGCUGGAAGGGAGGGCCCUGGGGGAAACACUCUCUCUCAUUUAGGCGCUUUGUACGCGUUCGUCCUCCUCUUAUAUUUCUCUGCGUGAAAUAAAAUCGAUUAGGACUCUUAAGUGUGUUGUUUUUUCUUUGCCUGUGGUAAGAAACAGUCAUCGCUUGAGGAAAGCGGGCAAAGGGCUGACAGAAGCUGAUAGAAGGGAGGCUGCCGUGGUCCUCGUGUUUUGGCCCCAGAGCGAGAGGGACGUGCAGCAGGAGCAUCAAUGGCUUUGUAGUACAGACAGAGGAUUCAACAAACUCAGAGUGAGGUCCUCAAAGUACCUGGGCAGCAUAACGGGGAGAAAGCAGGACGUGCAGUUACUCCCAUCCCAUCAUGAGGUGCACAAGCUGUACUGGGGAAGGCUGAUCAACAACGUUAGAGCCUUUCUUUUCUCUAAAGGCCCCACACCAUAGGGUAGUGGAGUUUUCUUCGUGGCAAACAAUGCUCCAAGUAUCAGUGGAUCUCAGAUCUUCAUCAUUCAUGGCAAUAGUCACCCUGAAGUAAGAAGCAUAUUUUCUUUGGGGAAGUAAUCGAUAUCCUGGAGACCAUGGACAAGGCGAUGUUGCCAGUCGAUGAGAAAAUCCUCUAAACUGUUAACAAUGUUCAGAUAUUAAGUGACAUCUCAGUUCCAAGACUUUUGUGCUGUGACCUAAAAGUGCUUGGACAGCCUCCUCUGAAAGGCCCAUCAGAUUGCCUAUGCAUCCUGGUGUUUAAAGUGACACGGAAAAUAUCAGUGUCAGUGUUGACAGACAUAUCAGAAUCAGUGUUGAUGGAUUUAAAAAAAUCAGCAGUUUAGUAUUUCCUUACUUCAAAACCAUGCCUAGAAAGCUUUCCAAGUUUAUCCAGACUGGAAUGAAGUUAAGAAAGCUGCAGUCACAUCUCACGUUCUAUUUACCCCUUAGAUCUGUGGUCUAAAAAGUGUGUGAUAUGUUUCUACCCUACUGUGAGUGUGCUGAGGGCAGUUACGUGCUGAGCUCAGCAAGAGAGGGCAAAAUCAGCACUGGUAAUGGGCUACAUCUUGGUGGAAGGCACUGGGAUUAUGCCAAGCCUACAUUCAGCCCUAGUGGUACCAGCCAAAAGUGAUGAGGAAGGAAUCCUGAGUAUGUCAUCCAAGCGUCGUGGAGUGCUUUCAGUAAUCUUCUAUUUUGCUUUAAACAAACAAGCAGUUAGUGGUUUAAACAAACUCUGAAGAGAACAGAAGCUCUAACAUUUGUUCUGUUUCUCUUUUCUCCCAGAUCCCCUGUUUUGUGGCUCUCAGGUAUCUGCUGUUCACAUGCUUUCCUGUUACUCACAACCACAUGCCAAAUGCUAGCUAAUGGCUGGUUUAUUCUGUUUGUGCUUUUGUACUAUCAUUUUAAAAAAAAACUAAAGCACUUUCACUUCACACAGUGAACCAGCAGGCCAGCUGUUCAUUUUUUGUAUACUAGAUAAUUCACUUCGAAAAUGUCUUACAUCAUUAAAAUUUUUGGUUGAACUGCAGUGUAUUAGGGUUUAUGUGGACACAUCUAUACUUUGAACCCUUUCUGUCUGGCCUCUCACUGGUGUCCAUACGAUAUUGCUUCAUGCUAGGGCUGAUUCAUCUGCUUACCUGCAGGUUCUCACCUGAUUGUGGGUCAAGCUAAUGGGAUUCAGUUAGUGCAAAGUGUACCCAGAAGUAUCAUGUGCAUAUGUACUCCCAAAACCUCAUAGGCUGCGUCGUGCCUUGCAACCUCAUUGCCCUACAUACUUGAGGAGCCAUCCAGAGGUUAUAUAUCGUCGGAUGUCAAGGGAGAGCAAGCUGUUCAGAUUUGCCCUGAUCUUGGCCACUGUGAUUUGAAGAUAUAUGAGCAUAUACCGAAGCGAGUAACUGAAGAGGGAUCCUCUUGGGAUAUAGCUCAUUGCAACAAUGAAGGAAAGAAGUUCCGGCAAAACUGGAGUGAAAAAAAACAAGGCCAUAAACAAAGUUUCUGGCAAUGCUCCAAGUACCAAUCCUUUCUUCAAGACUUUGAUCUGAUGUUUGCUGCAGGAGCUGGUGAGUACAUUGUGGCCCGUUCUGGUGCAAAGAGAAGACUAGUCCUAACUUGGCCAGCACUAUAAUGAGGAAAAUUCCUGGAAACGCAGGUUCUUUUCCUUGUGCAAAAGCCAGGGCAGACCCAGAUGAAGAGGUGCUCCAUAAACACAGUAUAAACUUGAAAUACCACUGUUGUGAUGGGGUUUUCAAUGAGGUGGUAGCAGACUGUCUAUCAGGGUAUAUUUUGGGGUUGUAGUGAGAGGGAGGCGCUUGAAUGUAUUUUGCAUGCCCAAUGGUUGAUGUUGUUUUAGGCCAACAGGAGUUAGGAAGUUUUCUCAGUUUGUUUAUCUUGUAACUCCCAUUUUGAUGCUAUGUUAGCUGAAAACAGCAUCCACACCAGAGAAGUUUCAUUUGGUGGUGAUUAUUCCCCUGUAAAUUGCAUACUGAUUGCACACCAUCACUUACCAUCCCUACUCUCCCAGCCUUUUGCAUUCUCACACCAUGCGAGUCAAGCACUGCAGUGCCUGCCUCCACCCCAGUCAAACUAAUGACAGUGCAGCACUUACAAAUAGAUAAAUACUCAAGUGAGGCAUCCAAGUUUCCUGCUACGUUAGCUAGGGAGAGUUUAAACAAAGCACUUUGCUAUUUGAUAGACACUAUCAGCUUUCAGCUCUCGUGACAUUUUAAGAGGUGCAUUUCUCAAAGCAAGUUGUGCAAAAAAGGAAGGAGAUUAAAUACCACUUGGCUGGACACAGUCACACUCUUAGCAUCAUUAGAGUUUUAAGUCCAGUAAGGUUCUUUCAGGACCGUGUUUGGUAGUGUGCUUUGAUUAUGUCUUCUGGUGAAAUAAAGGAGAAAGCAAAAGCA